AGAUCAACGUCGGUUGUGUGCCCAUUGCGUCUCUUUAUUUUCCUUCAAAGAAGUGUAUGAAAAGAUAAAAAAUGAUUGUGCAUCGAAUGUACGUUCUCUCCUUUGUGUUGGUCCUCGCCACAAAUAUGCGAUGCCAAUACAUGCAAUGGAUUUCAAGUUGCUCAAGGUAUUGGAUACUGGAAGUGUCCGAUUUUAUCAUUUUCCAGAAAUUUUCAAGCUAAUUUGUCUAAACUACCUUUCACUAACUUGCAAUAAAGAGAUCCCAGUAUCUAUAUUCGACCUUUUUCACCUUCAGUUCUUGAUUAUCUAUCAAUAUAUGAAUAUUAAAAAACGUGGAGUUUUGUCAUGUAUGCCAGUGGAAGUAUGGGGCAUGCAAGAACUACUACAUAUUGAGAUAUAGGGAAAAGAGCUACCUACCCCUGAUUCUUCUACUGCUGCAUUGGAUAGACUUGACACUCUUAAUGGUGUGAGUGAAAAGAGUUGCACAAGAGAAAAACUCAAGAGAAUCCCAAAUUUAAAGAGAUAAGGAAUUGUGGUAGAAUUGCAGCCUUAUGAUGAAGAUGAUGAUAGAAACCCAUAGAGUAACUUGGGUUAUAUAUCAGAGGAACUCCAAAGUUUGAACACACUUGCAUAUACUGUGAUGUAUCCAGAUAUUAAGCGUGAGUUUAUGGUUCCUCUAUCGAUGUUCCCAUCAAGUUUGACAACUUUGAAUUUGAGUGGCUUAGGGUGUCCAUGGGAGAACAUGAAUGUCAUAGGUUCGAUGCUACCAAAUCUCAUGUUCCUCACGUUAAAAGGCUAUGCCUUUCGAAGCGCCGAGUGGAAUAUAGAAGCACUUGAUACAGUUAUAAUUAAGGACACCGAUUUGGUGCGAUUGAUAGCUCAACAUGGAAGUCUACCAAGGCUCAAACUCCUAAGCAUACGCCAUUGCUACAAAUUACAACAAUUCAAUUGGUCGCGUGAUCCCUCAAUGGUCACCAUUGCAAUUGAGUUAGUUGAGUGCAACCCCUUAGCCGUCGUUUCUGCCAAGCAAUUAAAGCCUGAAUCUGUCUUUAAAAUUCGUUCUCACUCUUCUUUUUUAUACAAGAAGUCCUAGCUCAACUCUCAACUUGGUUAAGAGGUUAGUCUUCAUACUCCCUUUAAUUUGCACAAAACCACAUGAAUUCACUUCUUUCUUAACUAAAAUGCUUGUGCUUGUAAUUGUUUUUAUGUUAUAUUGUAUUGCAGAUAUGUGUUUAGGUUGUUGGCUGCUUUUUCUUCUACGAAUGGGAGUUUGAUCUCUAUAAUGGGGGAGGUUUAAAUCACGUAGCAUGUUUUGAAAAUAUAUAUCGCUCACAUGUUAUAUUAAUUAACUCUAAUUUAUCAGGAAGUGAGAGGGCAAAAGGGGUCAGAUAGCAAGGCAUAUUUGGUGACUUUGGAUAGGCACGAGUGGGAGCGCAUGGAGUUGUGAAGAUUAGCCAAUCUGUGGUAUUUCCAGUUGUGACUAAGAGAAAGUUACUUAUCUUAGAACGUGCUACCUGCUCACAUGUGCCGUGCGUGUGGUUACUGUUCUGCGGUUGAGAGGAAGUAUUUAAUAAGAAAAUGUAUCACAAACAAAGAUAUCUGAAUUUUUAGUUUUAGUUAAACUUAAAACUCCGUAGCUUAGUUUAACAACUCUUGUAUUUCCAUUUCUAGUUAACUGCUACUUUUGCUUUUAUGGUAAUUAUGAUGAUCUGUUGAUUCUGUAUGGUGUGUGCAUUUAUGUGUAUGCAAAUGAUUUGUUGUUAGUGAACAAAGAAUUCUGUAGCAUUUACUCUUCUUAGUUCAAGUAUGGUUCAUUAA